UCAAAUCUGUUUUUUAUUGGGGCGCCUGGUUAGCUCAGUUGGUAGAGCGGGCGCCCAUGUAACAGGCCUCAGUCCUGACCGCGGUGGCCCGGGUUUGAAUCCGGCCUGUGGCCCUUUCCGCAUCCACUCUCUCUCUCCCCCCUUUCCAAGACUCUAUCCACUGUCAAUAAAAAAAUGGUAAAAAUGCCCCCAAAAAAUAACUU